GACGAACGCUGGCGGCGUGCUUAACACAUGCAAGUCGAACGAUGAAGCCUUUCGGGGUGGAUUAGUGGCGAACGGGUGAGUAACACGUGGGUAAUCUGCCCUGCACUCUGGGAUAAGCCCGGGAAACUGGGUCUAAUACCGGAUAUGACUUUCUUACGCAUGUAGGAAGGUGGAAAGUUCCGGCGGUGCAGGAUGAACCCGCGGCCUAUCAGCUUGUUGGUGGGGUAAUGGCCUACCAAGGCGACGACGGGUAGCCGGCCUGAGAGGCGACCGGUCACACUGGGACUGAGACACGGCCCAGACUCCUACGGGAGGCAGCAGUGGGGAAGUAUUGCACAAUGGGCGAAAGCCUGAUGCAGCGACGCCGCGUGAGGGAUGACGGCC
rnacentral:rRNA from 1 species